rnacentral:rRNA from 1 species
AUUGAACGCUGGCGGCAGGCUUAACACAUGCAAGUCGAGCGGGGGGAGGUAGCUUGCUACCGGACCUAGCGGCGGACGGGUGAGUAAUGCUUAGGAAUCUGCCUAUUAGUGGGGGACAACAUCUCGAAAGGGAUGCUAAUACCGCAUACGUCCUACGGGAGAAAGCAGGGGAUCUUCGGACCUUGCGCUAAUAGAUGAGCCUAAGUCGGAUUAGCUAGUUGGUGGGGUAAAGGCCUACCAAGGCGACGAUCUGUGGCGGGGCUGAGAGGAUGAGCCGCCACACUGGGACUGAGACACGGCCCAGACUCCUACGGGAGGCAGCAGUGGGGAAUAUUGGACAAUGGGGGGAACCCUGAUCCAGCCAUGCCGCGUGUGUGAAGAAGGCCUUAUGGUUGUAAAGCACUUUAAGCGAGGAGGAGGCUACUUUAGUUAAUACCUAGAGAUAGUGGACGUUACUCGCAGAAUAAGCACCGGCUGACUCUGUGCCAGCCGCCGCCGUAA